rnacentral:SRP_RNA from 1 species
CGGCAUCGAUAUGGCGGUCCGGGGGGAGCCCCGGGCUUCCAGGUCGUCUAAGGAGGGAUGUACCGGCCCAGGGCGGCGACGCAGCAGGCAAAAGUCCCCGUGUCG